UACAGAGGUCUCAAGCGUUGUUCGGAUUCAUUGGGCGUAAAGGGUGCGUAGGUGGCGGGGUAAGUCAGGUGUGAAAUCUCGGGGCUCAACCCCGAAACUGCACUUGAUACUGCCUUGCUCGAGUACAGAAGGGGCAACUGGAAUUCUCGGUGUAGCGGUGAAAUGCGUAGAUAUCGAGAGGAACACCUGCGGCGAAGGCGGGUUGCUGGGCUGAUACUGACGCUGAGGCGCGAAAGCCAGGGGAGCGAACGGG
rnacentral:rRNA from 1 species